UACGUAGGGGGCUAGCGUUGUUCGGAUUUACUGGGCGUAAAGGGCAUCUAGGCUGUUAUAUAAGUGUGGAUUUAAAGGCAGAGGCUUAACCUCUUGUUUGGUCUGCAAACUAUAUAACUAGAGUACAGAAGGGGAAACUGGAAUUCCGCAAGUAGGGGUAAUAUCUGUAGAUAUGCGGAAGAAUACCGGUGGCGAAGGCGAGUUUCUGGUCUGUAACUGACGCUGAAAUGCGAAAGUGCGGGGAGCAAACAGG
rnacentral:rRNA from 1 species